CCGCGUUUCUGACUUGGAAUUCUGAGUUCAAUAACCAUUCAAAACGAUUUUCCCAGUCUUGAGUUUAUUUUUUUUCAGUUGCCAGUUGAAUUGAACGCAGUGAAGUCGGAAGUCAGAGAUUUCCAAGUUCCCAGUUGUCUUGAACGCGGCAGUAUCCUAGUCCCCAGUGGGAAGAUUUUUAUAACCAUAAUGCAACACACUUUGAAGACUUGACAAAAGUGAUCCGCUCGAACGCGCCUAAUGAUUUAGGCUACAUAAAUGAAUGAACAAUUGCUGAUAUUUAUUUAUUUUUUUACCCCUUGCACGGUCAACAGGUUUGUCAAUAUUGUGAGAAAGCAUUUCUGUCACUGUGUGAGCAGCGUUGACUCUCUCUUACUGAACCUUGUGCGCUACGCAGUUUGAUAAAGCCUGCCUAUGGUCAUAUAAAAUAAUGAACAUAAAGAAGUGUUGGAGCGCCACCUGGAGAAAUACUGCUUCGUCUUGCUUUUGGGUUGUCACUCGUUACCACAGCCACGAAAUCAAGUGUAUAUCGUAAAAAUUAAUUAUUACAAAUAAUGGUUUCUGGUCUUAAUUUAAGGUUAGGCAUAAGGUUAGCAGUUUGGUUUAAAGUCUUAUUUUAAGAUAAAAUGUAGAAGUUGGCGGGGGUUAGCCAAUUAAGCCUUUGUAGUUGUGGUAACUAGUGACGACUAUCAACAUGUGUGGAAAUAACAACAACAACAACACGGCGAGCCGGGAGCUCACCUACGAUGGCUGUAAUCUUUUCAGACAAACACCAGUGUUAUCAACGCUAAAUUGCAAAAGCAAAACUUACGAUCUAAAGAGGAUAACCCAGGACUGCGAGAUGUUGUAGCCAGCUUCAUCAGGCUUCUGGACAAGGUAACCUAAGGGACCAAAAUUGAAAUCAAGUCAUGAGAGGAUGAAUGCAGUGUUGCCAACUCCUCAGUAAGGAAAGUAGCUAUUGGCUGUCCUAACUGACGUCAUCGCCUAAUUUGCAUAAUUUGCCAUGUGCAUGUAAUUGUGAUGGAUGCUGUUGGCAUAACGUCGUGGAGAGACAAAAGGAACGGUGCUGUUCUAUCAGCUAGGCCUGCUGUAUGGCGUCGUGGUGGAACAUGACUAACACCCAGCGCUCUCUGGGUUAUUACCUGGUUUCCCUGCUCAUGUGGGCUCCCUUCAUGAAGCACCCUUUGAAGGCUGUGCUGAAGGGGAUCACCAACGAUCCCAUUGACUUCUCGGCCCUCCCAGCCAACACCACCUCAUCAGAUUGCCCGUUGCAGUUGUUGGAGAGAUGUACAGAUGGCAGCAGAACAUGCAGCAUAGUGAAGACUUCACUGUGAGCAUAACAAUGAACGGAUCAGUCAGCCAGCUGUUGGCAAGUAUCCGGUUAGACAAACCUGUCAUCGACAACAGCUUUCACAGGCUCAUCAUUUUGUACAAAUACAGAAGUAUCUUUGAUGGGGGGCCAGGAGCUGAUCAAUGCUGCAAUUCCCAUCAAUGGGGCUCUGGCAAAGACCUUACCUCCAGCCUCACCUCUUGCCUACUCACCAAUGGUCAUCGAUGAGAACAGAAUUAGGUCGGCUGUACGAACUCAACCAUUCAGAGCCUGUCACUCAUGUACAUGACCCUGGGCCAAGAACAUGUAUGUAAAGCGCUGCACGGCCACCUCUCUCUCUCCAAUACACGUUUGACAUACUCAGACAUGACAGACUUUUUCCAGAUGAGGUUUAAGAUGGAGACUCCGACAUCAUCAAAUCUGUCGUUCUGCCCCUGAACAAGGCAGUUAACCCACGGUUCCUAGGCCGUCAUUGAAAAUAAUAAUUUGUUCUUAACUGACUUGCCUAGUUAAAUAAAGGUCAAAUCAAAAAAAUCAUCGGAGGACAAGAGAGAAGGAGGAGACCAAGUACAGAUGACCUGUGUUGAGAGCCGGGUUUACCAAUAUCAGCAAAUCAAUAUUUUUAUACCAGAGUCGUUCUUGAAUUACGGUGGCAUUUGGGUAUGGCGUAAUUAAAAACAACAUUCUUUCUAGAUUUGUAUUUAUUAUUUACCGUUAGGAUAACAUUGUGCCACCAGUAGGAGUCGUAACACCAAUGAGAAUUUUGUUUAUUGAGGAUUUUCUUAAAUGGAGGCCACCGAUACUUAAAUCUAAGAUCAUUAACCCAGAAAAUAGUUGACUAAAGGGAGAUGAUUAAUAAUUGAGCUCAUAAUGUUAUGUCCCUUUUUAAAUGGACUAACCCCAAGUGACACUGGAUUCAGACACACCACAUUAUCAAUGGAAUCCUCAAAUGUAUGACAUAAUAAAAAAUAGUGUGAUUAGCUAACAAUUUUAUUUAAUAAAGACCUCUCCCCCGAUGUUUUCCACAGGAGGGAAUGGUCGAGGUCCUUGUAUAUCUUGUAUGAGUGGUUUUUAAGGCGGUAACUCCAAGGAAAUAAAACUGAGGGACAGAUAUAGUAGUAAAAAAUAUUAAUUUUUUUAAUAGCCUUUGUUUUCAUUGAUCUAAACAAUAUAUUAAAUACCUUUUUCAUCUUCUAACAUUCAAAAUAAUAUUUAGCUCUAAAUCCCCAAAAUGUCACUACAACUUCACACAUCACUACUGGGAGAAGCCAAUGUGAUUACUUGCCCUACAUACUUUAUACUGCAAAACUUUCUGUUAAUACAUUGUUUAAUGGACUUGCAUUACAGUAGCUAAGAGGUGGCGAAGUAUGUCUAUGAUAAGAUGCUGCACUACCUUCUUGACAGCACUGUCAACAAGGCAGGUCCUACAGGCCUAUGACUAUUCAGUCGUGUGGUCAGGUGCCACAAAAAAGGACUUUGGAAAAUUGCAUUUGGUUCAGAACAGGGCAGCGCGGCUGGC